GCGGUCCAUUGCGUGAUGUUGUAUCUGGAGGAAUUUAUAGAAAGUUUGGACAGUUUACCUGGAGAAAUUGCUCAUAAUCUUAAAGGAAUUAACAGAUUAGAUAAUCAAGUAGAGGGCGUUAUUGUUGCUCUAGAAGAAAGAAUUUAUGACAAUUUUUUUGUAAUAAAAAAACAAAAAACGGACACGAAGACCGAAAUCAUUAACUCUAUAAGGGAAGAUUACGAAAAGGCGCUUAAAUAUUCUGACGAAAAAAUAAACUUAGCUAUUCAGAAUCUCAACUUAUUAGAGCGGCACACCAAAAGGCUAGAGCUAGAUCUUAAUAAGUUUACUCAAGAAUUAGAAGCACAGA